CAGUAGCCGCGGGAAUACGAACCGUGCGAACGUUAUUCGGAAUCACUGGGCUUAAAGCGCGUGUAGGCGGAUGGGAGCGUCGGCCUCUGAAAUCCCCCGGCUCAACCGGGGAAGUGGAGCCGAAACGACCCGUCUGGAGGGACGUAGGGGGACCUGGAACUUCCGGUGGAGCGGUGAAAUGCGUUGAGAUCGGAAGGAACGCCCGUGGCGAAAGCGAGGUCCUGGACGUCUGCUGACGCUGAGACGCGAAAGCCAGGGGAGCGAACGGGAUUAGAUACCCCCGUAGUCCCUGUCUCUUAUA
rnacentral:rRNA from 1 species